AAUGCUGAGAACCAAAUCUGAGAUCGCCGCGAUACUUCGUGGGUGGAACAAGGGGGCCUCAUACGCGGUUCCGAAUAACGAGAGGGCUGAUUUACUUUUAUUUUUAUUUUGACCUUACGAGAGGGCUGAAUGAUCAGCCAGAUGAAGCGACGGGGGCAACCUGGCUGAUGGCGUUUCAUUUUUAUUUUAUUUUGACAUUACCGAUGGCGUUUUUUCUUCUUUUACCAAUGUUGUGUAGUCGUGUACAUUCUCGCUGAUCCCCCGCACAACAAAAUACUAAUAAUUAGGAAUUUUUUGAUGGUCCAAAUAAUCACCAAGCAGGUUUAAGACACAGCCAGGCAUACAAUGACGAGGACGUCAACCAAACGCACCCUCAAAACCACGGCGAACCAGCGUCUGCUUCCGGUACGCGGCGUAUUCUCUUUCCUCGAAAUGGGCAUGCCACCAAAGCCAUGCACGUGUCGUCGACCCGGAUUCGUAGGUCCUGCGUCGCCCGUGCGCGUUGUGACCUUGACUCCUUCCUGACUUCCGAGCGGGCGGUCAAAAGGCCUCCACGUUUCCGUCCGUCAAUGAUAAAUUGCUUGCACUUCCCCGCACAAGAACAGCCAGAUUGCGCUGCGUUUGCUGUCUAGCCGGACUUCCGCCUUGAGGACCAGCACCACCUCUCUUUCUCUCGUACUCAAAGACCAUGGCAGAAGAUUGACGUCCACCCCAAUGCUGCACUAGUCUUGGAUCCAUAGAUCCCAACAAAGUCAAAGUAUUUGCUUGGCUGCUGUUCUUGGAAGCGGGGAGGCCCUCCUAGAGAUCCGCCCCCGCGAGCUCCAGUUCCUCUAUUGCUUAAAUUUCGAGAAUUAGUAAGUGCUCCAAAAAAAAUGCAGUAACGCUGCAUUAUUCUCCCGUAUUAAUCCAGGGGUUCCGAGGUCUAAUUCCUCCUAUGAAGCUGUCACUUUAGGAGGUUGUGCCAUUUGUCUUUCUGGUCAGUGGCGGAGGACGGAUUGAAAUUUUGUUGAGGUGAGGAAGCAAAGUUCAUGUUCGGUCCAUCUUGUGAACAGAACAGAUGAGUAUGUUGCAUUCAAGGUUAAAACAACUUCCCCAAAAAGAUAUUGUGUUCGACCAAAUAUUGGAGUUAUUCUUCCAAGGGCAACUAUGGCUUUUACAGCUGGCUCCUGGUGUAUUACUUCUUGUAUUGAUCCAACGGAGGAGAUAAGCUUGCUUCGAGGAAGAGAGAAACAUAUUUUCAGUGUUCAUAUGCUUUGUUACUAUGCAAGCACAAAAGACUGCUCCACCAAUUAUGCAAAUAAAAGACAAGUUUCUUGUGCAAACCACCGCUGUUCCUUCUGGUAUAACUGAUGAAGGCAUCCUUCCUGCUUUUUUCUCCAAAGAGACCAGAAGAUACGUCAAGGAGAAUAAGCUGAGAGUUGUCCUUGUUAGUGCAACUCGGCCUGAAGCAGAGCAACUCAUCAGUGGAAUUCCCGGUGCAAAGAUUGCCAUUGAGGUUCCUGUGGGAAAAGAGAUUGAAUAUUGUGAAUGGAGUACCUAACGUGGCGAACCAAGUCCCAAGCUUUUCCUCCCUAAGAGAAUCUCCAGCUAUUCUGAGUGAAAUUCCUUUCCCUGUAAAAGGAACUCCCACUCUUCUGAGAGAUUUCCCUGUCCCAUUGAAAGAAGCUCCAGUUACUUCAUCAGAACAAACUAUCCAUUUGAAAGGAACUCCUAUUAGUUCUGUAGAAACUCAGUUUUCUUCAAUAGAAAUGAAUACAACCUUAAAAGAAACUCCUACUGUUCUGAGAGAUUUCAUAGUCCCGUUGAAAGAAGCUCCAGCUACUUCAGCAGAAUCUGUUACUCAUUUGAAUGAAACUCCUACUGAUUCUGUAGAAACUCAAUUUUCUUCAACAGAAAUGAAUAUGACCUUUAAAAAUGCUCCUGCUGUUUUGAGAGAUUUCCCGGUCCCAUUAAAAUAAGCUCCAGCUACCUCAGCAGAAUCAGAUAUCCAUUUGAAAAGAACUCCUAUUGUUUCUGUAGCAACUCAGUUUUCUUCAACAGAAACUAAGAGGGCCUUAACAGAUAUUCGUGCUUCAAAAGUAGUUGCGAUCUCGAGUGAUAUACUUGUCAACACAGAGAAUCUUCAU